rnacentral:rRNA from 1 species
GUGGGGAAUAUUGCGCUAAUGCGCGAAAGCGUGACGCAGCGACGCCGCGUGGGGGAUGAAGGCCCUCGGGUCGUAAACCCCUUUCGGCAGGGACGAAGCGAAAGUGACGGUACCUGCAGAAGAAGCCCCGGCUAACUACGUGCCAGCAGCCGCGGUAACACGUAGGGGGCGAGCGUUGUCCGGAUUCAUUGGGCGUAAAGCGCGCGUAGGCGGCCCGGAAAGUCGGAUGUGAAAACCCGGGGCUCAACCCCGGGCCUGCAUCCGAUACUUCCGAGCUAGAGGCAGGUAGGGGAGAUCGGAAUUCCUGGUGUAGCGGUGAAAUGCGCAGAUAUCAGGAGGAACACCGGUGGCGAAGGCGGAUCUCUGGGCCUGUCCUGACGCUGAGGCGCGAAAGCUAGGGGAGCGAACAGGAUUAGAUACCCCUGUAGUCC